rnacentral:lncRNA from 1 species
CGGCUACAAAAUAAACACAGAAUGGACAUUUUUGUCUUUAUCAUAAAAAAAUGUAGAUGAAAAAACUAUCAAAAUAGGUGCAAUUUGGGUACCGUCACGUUAUAAAUAUAUCUGUGUUUAUUGUUAAUUGUUUGUUGUUCAUUUUACAAUGUUUGUCAGAGGUGGAUUUGUUUUGUUUUUUAGGGGGUGGGUGGUGUUAAUACAUAGACUUUUUGGCUCACUGUUGCUCAAAGGGCCCCAUGUGAGCUUAUGCCAUCACUUGGCGUCCGUCGUCUGUCGUCUUGAACUAUUUAAAAAAUCUUCUCCUCUGAAACUACUGUGUCAAAUACCUUCAAACUUUAAUAAAUGUUCCUUAGGGUAUCUUGUUUACAAAGUGUAUCCGAAGUUUUGAUCCAUCUACAAACAUGGCCGCCAUGGCUAAAAAUAGAACAUAGGGGUCAAAUGCAGUUUUUGGUUUAUAUCUCAAAACCUAAAGCUGUUAAAGCAAAUCUACAAAAAAACGAAUGACCAAAAUUGUCAAUUGACCCCUUAAGGAGUUAUUGCCCUUUUAAGACAAUUUUACACAAUUUAUUCAUCAAGUUUACUAUUAUUUAAAAAUCUUCUCUGAAAUACAGGUGAGCGAUUCAGGCUCUUGAGAGCCUCUUGUUACAUGGUCUGCUCCGUAUAUUGUCUAGUCAGGGAGCCUAGGGCCCUUAUUUGUUGUUAUGUUUCAUUGUUUAUUGUUACUUUACCUUAAUUGUUGUAAUAUUACUUUGUUGUAUAUUUGUUAUAAGAACAGAGGAAACUUCAUUGUGGUGAAUUUGAUUGGGAUGAAAACUUGAAUUUGAAAUCUGAAAAGAUUUUGUACAAUACUUAUGUAAAUAGAGAAAUCUGUGUUGUGAUAAUGAUCUUCCAUGUUGUGAUAAGAAUUACUGUGAUGUAUUUGUAAGAUGUAGUUCAUGUUAACACAUUCCAUAAAUGAUUGCAUAAUAUAUAACUGUUUAUAGCUUACACACAGUGAACAGUGACAUGGUCAGAAAAUGUUAUGUUUAGUAUAGUUAACUGAAACCAGACUAAGAUUGAUUUAAUCUUUUUAGUGUUAAAUUUUGUAUAGAGAAUAUACCUCCUUAGUAUAUUGGUAUAGAUAAGCAUUGAUGCAAUAUUAAGAAGCUAAUAUAUGUAAGAAGUGGUCUUUGAAGUCAGUUCAGUAACGGUUUAUUAGGUUUAUAAUUAAUUAUAAUUAAAUUUAAACCAUUCCAAGUUUUCAAGGUAUUUUUCUCCAUACUAAUUACUUGUUUGCCUCUAAAUCUUUGGAUUUUGUUCAAGUUUUUUUUAAAUCACAAUAAAUUUCUAAUGCUCCUUUAUCAUAAACAAAGAGAUUUUGAUAGUUAUAUGU